AUUUCCCCAUCCUGAACUUGACCUCCUCCUUGAUGAUACCAUCUCUCCUCCCUCUCCUGGACUAGACUCCUGGAGCAACCCACAGCUCCAGACAAGCCAGUGUAGGAAACAUGAAGCAGACUACCAAUAUCUCCAAGACCCACCAAGAAGCAGAGAAACUCAACUGGAAACAAUGUUAUGCUGUAACUUCAAAGCCCAACCUCUAAGAUUCUGUGGUCAUGUGUCUUCCAGGCAACGGUUGCAGCAGAGCAGCCACUGGCAGCAAGAUGAGCUUAUCUGAGUGAGCAGACUUUCUUCACCGACCGUCAACCAGAGCUAGAAGACCACUGCUUGGUAUUUCAUACCAUCUCUGAAUGAGAAAACCUUCAUGUAUUUUCAAAGAAUCAAAAAUGCCAACAAA